AUUGAUUCCUUUUGCUUUGUGCUAUUCUAACCAUACAUCUUUUAAUGGACUGUUUCAGAUUCUGACAACUUUUAUUCCAUGGAACUGUAAAGGAUCUUGUACCUGCAUAGAUGGCAUAAAAACAGAGGAAAAUCUUUCAAGUUUUCACCACUGGAUGUGAUAUUAGACUGAGAAGAACUGUUUUAGAAGAAUGAGUUGCAUUGGAAAGUGUUGGACAAAUGCUAUUUCAUGCAAGAAGUCUCUUGGAAGAUGAUCAG
ensembl:lncRNA